rnacentral:lncRNA from 1 species
AUCAGCACACACAAAUUUUGGUCCUGUAAAAGAUGGCACGUUGGGAGGGGAUGAAGAGUUAGGAAUAUCUUGAUUCACCACAGAAACAGACUUGAAAUCAACCGAUAUACAAAAACUAUUUUCUAGGUGCAUACAACUAAACAAACCACCCGAAAAAACUUCACAUUAUGUCCUCUCUCUUCUAUACAUGUGAUUUGAGAGAGUCCUACAAUAGAUGCAAAAAGUGAGAACUUUGUGUCUUCUGGGCAGGAAAAAGGGUGACUAAAAAAACUACUCUCAUAGUCUCAUACUUGGUUAUCUACAAUCUGGUUUACUGAUUUCAGGGUCCUUCUGUAGAAGAAAUCUCAAGCUCAGCCCACCAAAGUGGAGAAAGUUUUGGCACUGCUGAUUCAGGUGUUAUUUUUGUUAUCUCCUUCAAUCUCUCACAGAUUUCUUUCAUUGUAGGUCUCUGCUUUGAAUCAGGAUUGACACAAGAUUUAAUCAAUGCAGCAACCUGUUCCAGCUGAUCUUCUUGAUAAGAGGCUAGAUUUGGAUCCACCAUUUCUUUGAAGGGCUUGUCCCCUUGUAAAUAGUGUGAUGCCCAGUUUUCGCUUGAGCUAUUACCCACUUUAUAAGGGAGACGACCAGUAACCAUUUCAAAUAGUAGAACACCAAAGGUAUAAACAUUACUUGCUGGAGUUUCUAAUGGUAUGUCAAUGUGAUUUUUCCCCCCAGCUUUAUUCUCGACAGAAGCUGUUUCGUUGGAGAAACUGAAGUCUGAUAUUUUGGCAGCAUAGUCAUCAGUAAGGUAGACAGCCGAAGAGUUCAGGUUGGUAAGGGCUAUUGGAGGGUCCAACUGGUGCAUAUGUUGCAGGCAAUAAGCCAUACCGGUUGCAAUCCUGAGUCUUGUUCUCCAAUCCAAGCGCUCAGCUUCUUUUACUGGAAUUCCUAACAAGAUCAUAUCAGCCAUUUUCCAACUUAAACACAAAAUGGAUGGUAAAAAAUCAAUGCACAAAACUUGUAUCAAGUUCCUUAUAUCCUUUCCAUCAAGUUAUCCAAUCAUAUAAUGACAUGUGUAUACUUUUUUAGAAUUCAAUAAUCAAUUCUUAAUGAAUGUCAUUUAUUUUCAGAAUUUUGAAUGUAGAAUUUGACAAAAAUGAUACAAAGAAAUUGAUCAAAGUUUUUUCCACAAUCAAAUCCUUAAAAGCAACUAUAUUUGCUUCCAAACUAGAGAGAAGAUAAAGAGAGCACAUUUCAAACAUGUUAAGUAAUGGCAAUUUUGCAUGCAAAAUAAUUCAAAUCCUGGGGAGCUUUUUUAAGCAGGUUAUCAUUGGUUACCCUUCAAUAGUUUCCUCAACAAGAGUCCAACCCAUUUAAUUUGAGAGAGGUGUUAGAAAAAAUAGCAAUAACUUCAAAGCUUAUUCCUUUGUUAGCUGAAACCACAUUACCCUGGGGCUAAACUAUGUCAUAAUUACUCCAAAAC